UUCUUCCUCGUGAGAUUAGCCGUCCAGUAAAUAUUAACUUUUUACUAACUUUAGUUUUUACUCCGUUUUGUGGUAUUUUGAGUAAAUUCCUAGCUAAAAAUAAUCUUAAAUUGUAAUCGGAUACUCCACCGAACACUGUCUAUGACCGUAAUAAGAUUCAUAUACUAGCCGUGUCUUAUCCAACCUCGACAUUG